UAAGAGAGUUAGAUUGAGCUUUGGGUUUUAUUUCAACCUGAGUUGACUCAUUCAGAUGCAUACAUCAUGUUGGACUGAGACUUUUCCAUGAGUGUAUUUCAUUUCCAGUGUAAUAACACAAAAGAAGCAUCGAAGUUGUGACAUUCUCUGAUGCCAGAAAUAGACAGGGAAAGUUUUUAGGUGCAAACAAAAAUGAGAAAAGUGCCGAAAAUGACAAUUCUGGCCUAAUUAAGCAUCUCAUUUGCAGGAAGUUCCUCAGAGCAGCUGGAUAAAUAUGCAGCAUAAUCAACACCCCCCCCGGGGUGGGGGGGGGGCUGCCAACCCCUUCACAACAAGAACAACAAGACAAGAUGUUCUCCAGCCCUGGAGAAUGGUGAUCAUCACCAUUGCCAUCCUCUGAGAGACCAGGAAUCCCCAAACUCAGCGCUUUAGUGAAAUUGAGUCGCAGGCAUACAACUCAACAAGGCUCUGAAAACUGCCCUCGCUGCGCCCCAGCGGCCGGGAGGGGGCGCCCGAACUCGCCAUAACGCACUAACGACAGCGCCCACCCCGCGCGACCCGCCUCCAGUGACGCGAACUGGAGCGCCUGAUCAACCCGGAGAUCCCGGGAGCCCGGGCGAGGCGCCGCCGGGGCUUAGGGAGCGCGUGGGGCCGUGGGAACCGAUCAAAGUUUUCAUCAAGUUCUUCUGUAUGUAUUGAGACUGAAAAGUGACCGAAACUUUUCAUUAUAAAAGCUUCAGUAUCUCAGCCAUCAUGCCACUCUGCCCUUCAGUGGUGUUAACCCAGAUCAUAUGGAUGGAGAGGGAUGUGGAAAGUCUUUAGAAUCUUUGGUCACCUAGGCUUCAGUGGGUUGAGUAGUGUGUGUCCAAGGGACAUCAUGACUUGUCCUCAAAAAAUACAUGCACUUCUAAGAAGAUAUGACAGUCUGCAUUGAUAUGAGCUGCCAGGUCAUUAUUCUAGGAAUACUGUGGUAUCUCAAAGAAUCCAGAGAGAAACUGUUUCCUUGGAAGUGCUUUUUCACAACCAUUCUGGAAUUUUCCCAGUGAAGAAUUCCUCCAUGCUGGUCUCAUUCCAACCAACCUCUUCUGCUGAACAGUUUGAAGAUUUGCUGAAGCCUCUGAUGGAACAUAGCAGUGACCUGAGCCUUUUGGACCUUGCUGCCAUCUGCCAAUAACAACAGAAGACCAUUGGAACCAGCUGAAUGUCCAUCUUUAGGGGACUAAUCAAAUAAUGUAGGACUCAUCCAUUCAGUAGGAAACAAUACAGCUAUUUAAAAAGAUAAAGAAGUUCUCUAUAAAUGACUAAGAUCUCCAGGUUAAAAAAGAUAGGUGCAGAACAGUGAGUAUAGUAUGUUAUCUUCUAUAUAAAAACAAGGGAGAGUGUAAUAAAAGAAUAUAUCUAUAUUUUCAUCAGUUAGCUUAUACAUAAAGAAACUAGAAGGAUGUAAAAAACAGUAAUAACUUCAAACCGUGGAAAAUGUUGGAAGCAGUUGUCAAAGUACACAUUUAUUCAUAUACCCAAAGUUAAAUUGACUAGUAAUUUUUAUGGAGAAGGCAAUGGCACCCCACUCCAGUACUCUUGCCUGGAAAAUCCCAUGGACGGAGGAGCCUGGUGGGCUAAGGGUCAGACACAACUGAGCGACUUCACUUUCACUUUUCACUUUCAUGCAUUGGAGAAGGAAAUGGCAACCCACUUCAGUGUUCUUGCCUGGAGAAUCCCAGGGACUCAGGAGCCUGGUGGGGUGCCGUCUAUGGGGUCGCACAGAGUCGGACACAACUGAAGCAACUUAGCAGCAGUAAUUUUUAAAAUAUAAGUUAAUCAACUAUAUUUGAAUUUUUUAAAAUGUAAAUUUUUAAAAUAACCAUUAAGGGAAAUAUCGGUAGCGGGAUACAUAUACACUCAAAGUGUCGACUUAAAAAAAGUACUUAAAAAGAGUUGCGAGUUAAGUUUUAUUGGGGGCAAAAUGAGGACUAUAGCCCUGGAGAUAGCAUUUCAAAUACUCUGGGAAGCUGCUCCAAAGAGGUAGAGGGAAGGUCGGUAUAUAUGUGAUUUCGGUGAAGAGAUGGGUAUAUGCAAUCAAGCACGUGUUUUUGCAGAAGAUUUUGCUAGUCACGAGGGAACAGGUAUCACCAUGAAGGAAUUUAGUGCUUUUCUAGAUAUGAGGAGAUGCAAGAAUUGUGCUCCUAAAAUCUGCUCCUGAAAAUAUCUAUCUGAAGACCUGUUCUGCCAGUUUUGCCAGAGCACGAGUGCCUCCUUUGGAUCUCCACUCUGAAUACCCAUCAGGUGGUGUUGAAGGCCAGCAGCUACAACAGCAGGAAUGAUUUAUUUAAUCCUUGUAGGUAGAUGGCAAGUGCCAAUGGAAAGUGCCAAUCUGUCGUUUUUCAAAACAUCUCUGGUGACAAUAUUUUGGAAAAAAAACUUUGUAUGUCUUCAAGCAGCAUUCUAACGUUAGGAUUUAUCCCAAAACGGGAAGUUUUGUGCUCAGAGUCUGUAACACUGGAGAACAAGGAAGUAUAUAUUCAGGAACAAAUGACAAUUGUCUAUCCAUUUAAAAACUUGUGAGUGGAAAACAAAAGCACGAAAAAUUUACUGAUAGAAUUCUGCUGCAUGGGAAAAAUUCAGCCUAUACUAUUGACAUAGCAUGGUCAUAAUUUGGUAUUUUAAGAGAAGCAAAUGACCUGUUUUAAAUGAUUAAAAUUUGAAAAUAUGUACCCAGAGUUAUAAAUGAACUGUCUAUUAAAUUGUGUGGGAUAGGAUUUUUUUGUUUUUUUUUGGUUGAGGAGUUUGAGGGAUCUUGGUUCUGCAGCCAGGGUUUGAACCCUGGCCACAGCAGUGAAAACGCCGAGUCCUAACCGCUGACCUGCCAGAACAUUCCCAGUGUGGGAUAAGAAUUAACAAAGUUUUUUUUAUAGAGGAAAACUAAAAGCAUCUUCCCCCUAAGGAAGCCUUCUGCCAGGUUUCAGCUUCCAGAAAAGCUGCAUUUCAGUUAUCCAAAAGGGAGAAGCCAAGAAAUGUAAAUCUCGAAGUAUUCAUUUAGAGGAACAGCUCAGCUGCAGUGAAAGAUUUAUAUUAAAAAUAACAUCUGCGCACCCAUUCCUAUUUAAUAAUACCACAUACAAAGUACCCCGAAGACACCCCGCUGGCCCACCCAGCACAACCCUGCCGGACCCAAACCCCGCCUGCUCGAGGCACCGCCCACAUCCUCCCAUCCCCCACAUGCCCGCCUACUGGCGAGGUCUGGCGGCUGCGCAGCCGCAGUAGCUGCCACGGCCGCUCCUAGCCCGGGGGAUCCUGGGACGAGGCCUUUCCGGAAGGACCGGCUCGGCGUUGGGGCCUCGGCCCGUGUUCCAGGCCCAGGCUCGUGUUCCAGGUCCUUGCUCCAGGACGGGCCGGUAGCCGCGGCGACGCUCAAAGGGCGGCGGAGGGCGCGGCGGGCCGCUCUCUGAGGUGCCGGCCCUCGCCGUCGAGCGAGACGCCGGGCCGCAGGACGUGGCGGCACCUCCCCCUUGGCCCGGAGCAGAACUGCGGGAAGAAGAGCAGCGCAGGCCGGACCAAGUGAACCGGGUCACUUAACUGCCUCAGGUGAUGAAUCAUCUACACAGUAGUCAGAUUUGAGGUCCACAGCCCUCUGGGGCCAGCUGCAGAACAAUUUUCAAUGUGGGACUGUUGUGUUCUGAGGCGUGCUGCAGUGACAGUUUGCCCUUGAUAAGGAAAGCGAACUCUCUUGCUCUUGGGACAUCCUCGUUCCCUUUAAAGCUUUCCAGUCGUAACGUCUUUGUCCGGCAUACAUCUUUGUGCAAGAGGAAGGCGUUCACAUGAAAGUGUCUCUUGGUAACGGUGAAAUGGGCGUCUCCGCCCAUUUACAGCCUUGCAAGGCAGGAACCACACGUUUUUUUACCAGCAAUACUCACAGUUCGGUGGUAUUGCAAGGUUUUGAUCAACUUAGAAUAGAAGGAUUGCUUUGUGAUGUGACUCUGGUACCAGGUGAUGGAGAUGAAAUCUUCCCUGUUCAUAGAGCUAUGAUGGCGUCCGCUAGUGAUUACUUCAAGGCUAUGUUCACAGGUGGAAUGAAAGAACAGGAUUUAAUGUGCAUUAAGCUUCACGGGGUGAACAAAGUUGGUCUGAAGAAAAUUAUUGAUUUUAUUUAUACUGCAAAGCUUUCUCUUAAUAUGGACAAUCUUCAGGACACUCUUGAAGCUGCCAGCUUUUUGCAAAUCUUGCCUGUUUUAGACUUCUGUAAAGUGUUUCUUAUUUCAGGAGUCUCUUUAGAUAACUGUGUUGAAGUUGGACGGAUUGCUAACACCUACAAUCUUAUAGAAGUAGAUAAAUAUGUCAAUAAUUUCAUUCUGAAGAAUUUUCCUGCCUUACUGAGCACUGGAGAGUUUCUAAAACUCCCUUUUGAACGGCUUGCCUUUGUGCUUUCUAGCAAUAGCCUUAAGCACUGUACUGAACUUGAGCUCUUUAAGGCUGCCUGUCGCUGGCUAAGGUUGGAAGAUCCUCGGAUGGAUUAUGCUGCAAAAUUAAUGAAGAAUAUUCGAUUUCCACUGAUGACACCACAGGAUCUCAUCAAUUAUGUGCAGACAGUAGAUUUUAUGAGAACAGACAAUACGUGUGUGAAUUUGCUUUUGGAAGCUAGCAAUUACCAAAUGAUGCCGUAUAUGCAGCCAGUGAUGCAGUCAGAUAGAACCGCCAUUCGAUCUGAUUCGACACACUUGGUUACCUUAGGAGGCGUUUUGAGGCAGCAGCUGGUUGUCAGUAAAGAACUACGGAUGUAUGAUGAGAGGGCUCAAGAGUGGAGAUCUUUAGCCCCCAUGGAUGCUCCUCGUUAUCAGCACGGCAUUGCUGUCAUUGGAAACUUUCUUUAUGUAGUUGGUGGUCAAAGUAAUUAUGAUACAAAAGGAAAAACUGCUGUUGAUACAGUUUUCAGAUUUGAUCCUCGAUAUAAUAAAUGGAUGCAGGUUGCAUCAUUAAAUGAAAAGCGCACAUUUUUUCACUUGAGCGCCCUCAAAGGACAUUUGUAUGCUGUUGGUGGGCGAAGUGCAGCUGGUGAGCUGGCCACUGUAGAAUGUUACAAUCCAAGAAUGAAUGAGUGGAGCUAUGUUGCGAAAAUGAGUGAACCCCACUAUGGCCAUGCUGGAACAGUGUAUGGAGGCUUAAUGUAUAUUUCAGGAGGAAUUACUCAUGACACUUUCCAAAAUGAGCUCAUGUGUUUUGACCCUGAUACAGACAAAUGGACACAGAAGGCUCCAAUGACUACAGUCAGAGGUCUGCAUUGCAUGUGUACAGUUGGAGACAAGCUCUAUGUCAUUGGUGGCAAUCACUUCAGAGGAACAAGUGAUUAUGAUGAUGUUCUAAGCUGUGAAUACUAUUCGCCAACCCUUGACCAGUGGACACCAAUUGCUGCCAUGUUAAGAGGUCAAAGUGAUGUUGGAGUUGCUGUCUUUGAAAAUAAAAUCUAUGUUGUAGGUGGAUAUUCUUGGAAUAAUCGUUGUAUGGUAGAAAUUGUCCAGAAAUAUGACCCAGAAAAGGAUGAGUGGCACAAAGUUUUUGACCUUCCAGAGUCACUUGGUGGCAUUCGAGCUUGUACUCUCACAGUUUUUCCACCUGAAGAAAAUCCUGGGUCACCUUCCAGAGAAUCACCUCUUUCAGCACCUUCAGAUCAUUCUUAGGACCAAGGUGUAAAACCUUUGCAGUGCAUCAAGGAUGAUCCCAUAAUUCCCCUUCAGUUGUAUCUUCUUACAAUGAUUGGUACAGUUAUUAGAUUAAAAAGGUAAUUGAUGUUAUUUGUAUUGUUUGGCUUAGUAUGUUUAUCAAAUGGUUAACAAAUGUAUUCUGCAAAUGUAUGUAUUCAACAUAGCUACUUUAACAAAUGUAAAAAGCAGAAAAAUGAUAGAUAUCUUUUUGUGGUGUUGUGUAAGGUAAAGUGUAGGUGAUUGAAGUAAAUGUAUAAUUAUGUUCAUUAUGCAUCAAAGUUGAAAGUUUUCAUCUUUGACUACAAAACAUCAAAGGGAGGAUGCCUGCUAUAACCUAAAAUAAUAAACAAAAAAGGUCACCAAGCCUUAUUAGCUGCUUCCCUCUUUUCAUGGUUUGUGACAUAGCUGCUGACUCACCAAAUUGUGUGGGUACAUUCAGAAUAUGUGACAAUUCUUUGGCAGACUGGAGGAAUAUUAACUCAAAAAAUAGUAUAACCCCAAGUCAGGGUUUCAUAUCUCUUUCUGGGGAGAGGAAGAGAGAAAAUACAUUACCACACACAUACAUAUGUAUAUACAUGCAUAUACAUAUAUAAUUUUUAAAUUGAUUGGCACUUCAGCUAUAGUAAAAUUGUAAAUUUAAACUCUUCUACGUAGCAGCUAUUUCUGUUCAAAUGGGAAUUCACUACUAGAGAAUAAAUGUCUAUGUAGUCUUACUGCAGUGAUGUAGAUAAGGACGUAAACAUUAAAUUAUUAAUAACAACCAAAUACGUCAUUUGACUGAAUUGUUACUAUAGAUGAAACUUAACUUUUCCUGCUUGUAUGUUGUUUUCUGUAGAGUUGCCUUUAUACAGAUUAUUUAGCAGAGUUCAAGUCUCAGAGAAUUGCUUUUGCUCAGUAAAUUUAGACUCUGCUACUUUUCACCUUUGUGAUCAGUAAAACUUAUGAAAAAGACAAAAGCAUGCUCAACAAAGCUGUAGGUUUUUAAGUUCAGUCUCUCAACUUAGUCAUUCUGACAUAACUAUUUGAUUGAUUUGAGGUGGUUGCUGUGGUGCUGCUCCAGCCCAUGUGCAUCCUGAGCUUUGUGUGAUCAGUCUUGAGGCUGUGAUCUGAGCAAGUGGAAGAUGUACUUUUGGCAUCACAUCAGAAAAUGUCCUUUUGGCUAUGUCUGAAGGACAGGACCAACUUCAGAUUCCCUAAGAAGCCAGCCAUAGAAAGCCUAGGACACUGUUGUCUUGCAGGCAGUACUAAAGUAUAUCUUCAGCCUCUUCAAUACCAGAGGCAUCCCUACUGGUUGAGAACGACAAGGGGAGACCUUAAUGGGACCUUACCAGAAGUGGAAUCAUAUGAGUCCUCUGAAGUGAGUGAUUCUGAAGAAUCUGAAGAGGUACUUCCCUGGAAUAAUUGCCUGCCUGAAGAAAAAAUUUACAUAUAUAUUUAUAUCCCUGUCAUAGUGUAAAGAGAUUGUCAUAGUGUAAAUCAGAAACAACCUUGUUAUUGACCAUCUCAGGAACCAGAACGAAAGGAAUUGGCUUCAAGGGAUCUGAGCCUCACUGCCCUUUUCAUUUUAAUGCUUUAAUGAUUUCUGCAUUGGCAGAAAAUUUCAUACUUCCUAUUUUUUUUAAUGACUCAAUUUUUUAUUACUAAAUAUAGCACAUUUGAGUACAUUUAGAAAAUAGAAAAAGUAGAAAUUAUAAUAACUUUGUGCAUCAAAUAAGCAAGAAAGAGCAUCUCAGUUAUUUCCUUAAUUACUAAUUAGGUUAAAUAUUUGCAUUUUUCAGUAGCUGUGUUCCUCUUAUAAUCAAAUGUUAAUGUCCUUUGCUCUUGUAAUACCUAUUGGAGUUGCUUUCUUUUUCAUAUCAAGUUAUAGCAUCUCUUUAUAUAAUAAAUAUAAUUUAACUGG
ensembl:lncRNA